CGACCGCUGGCGGCGUGCCUAAUACAUGCAAGUCGAGCGGACGAAUCGAAAGCUUGCUUUUGAUUCGUUAGCGGCGGACGGGUGAGUAACACGUGGGCAACCUGCCCUGUAGACGGGGAUAACACCGAGAAAUCGGUGCUAAUACCGGAUAACACGAAAUGUCGCAUGACGUUUCGUUGAAAGACGGCGCAAGCUGUCGCUACAGGAUGGGCCCGCGGCGCAUUAGCUAGUUGGUGAGGUAACGGCUCACCAAGGCGACGAUGCGUAGCCGACCUGAGAGGGUGAUCGGCCACACUGGGACUGAGACACGGCCCAGACUCCUACGGGAGGCAGCAGUAGGGAAUCUUCCGCAAUGGACGAAAGUCUGACGGAGCAACGCCGCGUGAGCGAAGAAGGCCUUCGGGUCGUAAAGCUCUGUUGUUAGGGAAGAACAAGUAACGCAGUAACUGGCGUUACCGUGACGGUACCUAACGAGAAAGCCACGGCUAACUACGUG
rnacentral:rRNA from 1 species